AGCAGGUUGGAGGGGGCAUAAAGCAUGCUGUACAUUUCCCCACCCCUAUCCUUCACUCCUCCUUCCAGAAUAUGAUCAGUGAGGGAGCAGGGCAGCUGCUGAACCACAGAUUGCUAUUCCCUGUGCCUCUUCCACCCUGCUAAGCCUGGUCUGUGCCCCUGCCAGCCAGGCUUGGUCUGUGGGCUCCCAGGCAGCAGCAGCAGCAGCACAUCCCUGCCCUGUGCCCAAUCUCCAACACCCUGCGCCCAGCACAGCUCCCGAUGGCUGAGGGAUCCCCUGCUUCUUCUGCUAGACACACCAGACAGUAACUACCCCCCAGCUGAUCUCCUGCAGUCCCCACCAUGGUGUCAUGGAUCAUAUCCCGGCUUGUGGUGCUGAUAUUUGGCACUCUCUAUCCUGCGUAUUAUUCCUACAAAGCUGUGAAGUCCAAAGAUAUUAAGGAAUAUGUAAAAUGGAUGAUGUACUGGAUCAUAUUUGCACUAUUCAUGACACUAGAAACAUUUACAGACCUAUUCCUGUGUUGGCUGCCAUUUUACUACGAGCUGAAAAUAGCCUUCGUGGCCUGGCUGCUGUCUCCUUACACGAAAGGAUCAAGUCUACUGUAUCGGAAAUUUGUACACCCCACAUUGUCCUCUAAAGAAAAGGAAAUUGACGAGUGUCUCAUCCAGGCAAAGGAUCGCAGCUAUGACGCCCUGGUCCACUUUGGGAAGAGAGGGCUCAAUGUGGCUGCCAGUGCCGCGGUAACGGCUGCUGCCAAAGGACAGGGGGCGCUGUCAGAGAGACUGCGGAGUUUCAGCAUGCAGGAUUUGUCCAGCAUUCGGGGUGACAGUCCCUCAGCAUCUCCGCUUAUCGCCCGGGCGUCAGGCAAAGCCACCAAGUCUAAACUAUCACGGAGCGCAACGCAAGGCAGCGAGACCUCAGUGUGUACAUGCUGCGGUGCUGGAAAAAUCCUACAAGAUGUUGAGGUGAAUCAGUGUCAGAUGACCAGGACUACAACCUAUGAGAUACAGGAAUUGGAGUCCGAUGAAGACGGGGGGAUAAUUAUACUGGGCAAGCCCUCCAUGCAGAAACCGCCCCGGAAGGAACGACCGGUUGAGAAACAGGAGUGGCCGAGCCGAAGGUCACUCAGCCUCCGAUUAAAACAUCUGCAGCGAAAAGACCAGAAGACUCCAGAAGCAGAAUGAGCUUAAAAAAGCCGCAGUAAGACUCCAUUAACCAUGACACUGCUGGUUAAUCCUCCUCCCAGAGUCCAUAAGCCUCGAUUGAGGAAGAAAAGUACCUCUGCCUCUAACGCGGAAACGGCGUGAGUGCGGCCAACACCUGAGCACCACAGAAUGUCUCUUCACUGCCUUAAAAGAGCAAUUCAUACCACUUGACAAAAGGUGGCGCCAGAGCUCACACAAACCAGGCGUGACUUUUCCCAGAAUCCCCUACUUCCCCGGUCAUAUCACUUACGUUGGAUUCAAUUGUUCAUCGAUAAGUACAUAGCUGCUGUUAAAUCCACCACAAAAUAAUAUGUCACUAGGAUUAUCAUUUGACUUUGGGCCUUGCUUGGAACACUGAAAACCUGCAAUCCUCCCGAUGUGCUAUAUACAUCCCAAUAGAAGCUGAUGCUGUCCUGAUUAGUCAUAGUGACCAUUAAGUCCAGUAAUAUGGAGUGAUGACCAUCUUAAGUAUUGGUUUACUAAAGAAGUGAAAUAGCCAUUCGUGUUUAAAAUUGAUCUACUUUGUAACUGCUACGUAUGUAUGUUUGUUGUAUGACUUUGUAUAAAUUAUGAUUGUCUUUC